rnacentral:rRNA from 1 species
GACGAACGCUGGCGGCGUGCUUAACACAUGCAAGUCGAACGGAAAGGCCCUGCUUUUGUGGGGUGCUCGAGUGGCGAACGGGUGAGUAACACGUGAGUAACCUGCCCUUGACUUUGGGAUAACUUCAGGAAACUGGGGCUAAUACCGGAUAGGAGCACCUGCUGCAUGGUGGGGGUUGGAAAGUUUCGGCGGUUUGGGAUGGACUCGCGGCUUAUCAGCUUGUUGGUGGGGUAGUGGCUUAACAAGGCUUUGACGGGUAGCCGGCCUGAGAGGGUGACCGGCCACAUUGGGACUGAGAUACGGCCCAGAGUCCUACGGGAGGCAGCAGUGGGGAAUAUUCCACAAUGGGCGGAAGCCUGAUGCAGCAUCGCCGCGUGCGGGAUGACGGCCUUCGGGUUGUAAACCGCUUUCGCCUGUGACGAAGCGUGAGUGACGGUAAUGAGUAAAGAAGCACCGGCUAACUACGUG